AGGUUAGUGUGAGGCUGGAGAUCGGGUGACCCGAGAAAUAAUGACGGUGCGAACUAUACACGUAUCCAAGAACACCGUCGAUCACGUAAUUAAUGCCGUCUUCCGAGUCAGACCCUGGAGACGGCAUUAAUUACGUGAUCGACGGUGUUCUUGGACAUGUAUAUAGUUCGCCUUCCAGUAGUAUCUUUAGUUUUAUGCAAUACUUUUACAAAUACAUCUGCAUUUAGUUGAAUGAUUCCGCAGCAGUUUUUUGGAUUUUAUCACCAACCAUCAAUGAUACUAAAGAAAAUGGUUAUGAGAAAUUUUACAACAGAGAAGGUUGAUGGAGAGAUGAUAAAGGCAAUCGAUUUUACAGUGAGCAGACGAUAGUUGGUAGAGGAAUCUCAUAAAUCUCUCCUGCUGCCUACGUGCUCCUGCUGCUGUUCCUCUUGAUCUUCGAACUAAAGAUAAGCGAGAUCGGGAUUAUCGAGAUCAGCCACAAUCAUAUUAGCGGCAGCAUUGUCUGAGUCAGCGAUGGGAGCAGCAGCAGAUUUUACGCCGGAAUUAAUGCUGGCGUUGGUACCAGCAGCAACAGGUUUGGCGAUAGAAUCAACAGCGACGGGUUUGGUAACAGAACCAACGACGACGGGUUUGGCGGUAGAAUUCGUAGCUACUCUACGUUCAGCAGCAAUGGGUUUGACGACGGAGACAGCUGCGGCAGAAUUAGACGUACGUCUAACAA